ensembl:lncRNA
CUCCCCGGUAGUCCCGGCAUCGCUUAGCGCCCAGCGAGAGCCAACCGCUAUUAAGAGUGGAGGAUUAAUUGCUCAUUGCUCUCCGUUCCCAGUCCCUCCCCCAGUCGCUACCCGCCAAGCCUAAUUUUUCUCUCAGCUGCCCCACCCACCGCUCUUCUGACCUUGUCUACCACUCCCUCCUUUACUAACUUAUUGGUUCUUUCCCCGCAACUGAUUUGAUUUUCCUCACUACACUAGGAGGUGAAGUGAAGUGAAGUCGCUCAGUCGUGUCCGACCCUUUGCGACCCCGUGGACUGCAUAGCCUACCGGGCUUCUCCGUCCAUGGGGUUUUCCAGGCAAGAAUACUGGAGUGGGUUGCCAUAUCCUUCUCUGAGCCACCGGGGAAGCCUCACACUAACAGGAGGUGGAGGAUCUCUAUAGCUCGUUGAUUUAAUCCUCGAAUCUUUUACUAAGUCACUUAAGUCGUGUCUGACUCCCUGCGACCCUAUGGACUGUAACCUGCCAAGUUCCUCUGUCCGUGGAAUUCUCCAGACAAGAAUACUGGAGUGGAUUGCCGUUUCCUUCUCCAUAUCUUUUACAGCAAGUUUAUGGACAGUCUUCUAUGACCCAAGCAUCAGGCAAAGUGCUUUGGGAGGCACAAAGAUGAAUAAGAUGUGACCCUUGGUCUCCAGGAUCCUGCCAAGUGGAUGAAGAGAAAGGACAUAUACAUAAUAAGAUAACUGAUGACCCAACUCUGCCUGUUGCUGCCAAGAUGGAUGCUAGCAAGAAGGAUUCCGGGAAGUGGACGGACUCGCGGUGUCUCCUUUCGACCUUUCCUGAACCCUUCCGGUUGGUGGUGGCUUAUUAGUUCCGUAUUCCUUAUCAGGAUCUCCUGUCAUAAAACAACUCAUGCGAAU